GGAAUUUUGGACAAUGGGCGCAAGCCUGAUCCAGCCAUGCCGCGUGAGUGAAGAAGGCCUCGGUUGUAAGCUCUUUCGGCGGGGAAGGAAAUUGCACGGGUUAAUACCCUGUGUAGAUGACGGUACCCGAAUAAGAAGCACCGGCUAACUACGUGCCAGCAGCCGCGGUAAUACGUAGGGUGCGAGCGUUAAUCGGAAUUACUGGGCGUAAAGCGUGCGCAGGCGGUUUGGUAAGUCAGAUGUGAAAUCCCCCGGGCUCAACCUGGGAACUGCAUUUGAGACUGCCAGGCUGGAGUUUGGCAGAGGGGGGUGGAAUUCCACGUGUAGCAGUGAAAUGCGUAGAGAUGUGGAGGAACACCGAUGGCGAAGGCAGCCCCCUGGGCCAAUACUGACGCUCAUGCACGAAAGCGUGGGGAGACAAACAGGAUUAGAUACCCUGGUAGUCCACGACCCUAAACGAUGUCAACUAGGUGUUGGGA
rnacentral:rRNA from 1 species